UGUAGAAGGCAUUCUCAUUGGCCAAUAUGGUUUUGAAACAUGGAGAGUGGAAACCGAAUACUGCUCUUCGACUGAAUAUAUUUUUGCUCACCAGAAGCACAUAAGGCAUCUUUGUGUAGCUGUGUGAGCAGAACCUAUUUACCAAGGUUCCUAAGCCUUAAGUUUUCAAUUUUUAUGAUGUUAGAGAUGCCAAGUUACUGAAUUCAUUUUCAUGAAAACAGUUUGGCAGAAAUCAGAGGAACAGAAUAUUAUCUGCCAAGCAAGAAAUAUGACAAAGUUGAACAAACCGUCAUUUAAAAAUAUUGUUUAGCAUUGUUUCCCAAUGAACUGGGAGCCCUACAAAUGGUCUCACAACAAUGGCCUUCUUCUCCCCUGUAACAUUCACACCAAUUGUCCAAAUCUGGCGCAGAUUGAUUAGUGAGCAUUUAGUUUUGUAAUAAGCAACUGCAGUCUGGAGCAGAGGUUCUGCCCAGAGCCUCCGCCCUGUGCCUGCUGCGGGUGGUGACAUCCCAUGGGCAGCGCCUUCUGCCUCCAGUACUGUGACAGGGACAUGGAGCUGCACAGGGGACAGAGCAGGGCCUGGGUCUGCUGCACAGAGGAGAGAGGCAAAGGAUAUAGCAGAGGAAGGCAAGCUGGCAUUGCUGGUAGGUAGAUACAGCAUCACAUGUGGUUUGAAGUUAAUUUAUAGUUAGUAGGUUGUUGGUAUUUCCAGUUAUCACAGGUCAGGCUUCCAAGGUAUUCAGGUGGCUAAAGGCACAGCUGCGUGCUUGAUGUCAUUCAUAAGGUGCUCGUGGUGCAAACAAAGAAAUGGGUGGAAAUGACUCUAGAUGCUUAACCUCACAGGGUACAAUAAAUGGCCAACUGAACCUCACGUUGGCAACUUUGACAGGGAGAUGCACGAGGCCGUCCUGCUGUCGCUGGCACCGCUUCUGAUACCCGAUGCGCGUUCUCACCAGGGCCUCAAUCCCCCUGGCAAUUUAAACCAUUCCCAGACAGGGUAGAUGAAGCAAGCAG
rnacentral:lncRNA from 1 species